GAUGAAGAACGUAGCGAAAUGCGAUAAGUAAUGUGAAUUGCAGAAUUCAGUGAAUCAUCGAAUCUUUGAACGCACCUUGCACUCCUUGGUAUUCCGAGGAGUACGCCUGUUCGAGUGUUAUGAAGCUCUCAAAACGCAAUUGGCUUAAAACCUGAUUGUUGUUUUGGAUUUGAACUUUGCCGUGUUAUAACGGCUGGUUUUAAAAGUAUUAGCUGGUACUAGAACGAAUUGGUUCUACUCAGCGUGAUAAUUAUCUGAUCGUUGAGGACAUUCCUUUCACGAGGAAUGGCCAUAGUAAAUUCAAUGGACUGCUUCUAAUCUGGCUUUAAUUCUUUAUUGGAUUAACCACUUUUCAAAUCUGACCUCGAAUCAGGUGGGACUACCCGCUGAACUUAAGCAUAUCAAUAAGCGGAGGA
rnacentral:misc_RNA from 1 species